UCCACGCCCUAAACGAUGUCUACUAGUUGUCGGGUUUUAAUUAACUUGGUAACGCAGCUAACGCGUGAAGUAGACCGCCUGGGGAGUACGGUCGCAAGAUUAAAACUCAAAGGAAUUGACGGGGACCCGCACAAGCGGUGGAUGAUGUGGAUUAAUUCGAUGCAACGCGAAAAACCUUACCUACCCUUGACAUGUACGGAAGGCCGAAGAGAUUUGGCUGUGCUCGAAAGAGAGCCGUAACACAGGUGCUGCAUGGCUGUCGUCAGCUCGUGUCGUGAGAUGUUGGGUUAAGUCCCGCAACGAGCGCAACCCUUGUCAUUAGUUGCUACGAAAGGGCACUCUAAUGAGACUGCCGGUGACAAACCGGAGGAAGGUGGGGAUGACGUCAAGUCCUCAUGGCCCUUAUGGGUAGGGCUUCACACGUCAUACAAUGGUACAUACAGAGCGCCGCCAACCCGCGAGGGGGAGCUAAUCGCAGAAAGUGUAUCGUAGUCCGGAUUGUAGUCUGCAACUCGACUACAUGAAGUUGGAAUCGCUAGUAAUCGCGGAUCAGCAUGUCGCGGUGAAUACGUUCCCGGGUCUUGUACACACCGCCCGUCACACCAUGGGAGCGGGUUUUACCAGAAGUAGGUAGCUUAACCGCAAGGAGGGCGCUUACCA
rnacentral:rRNA from 1 species